rnacentral:rRNA from 1 species
UACGAAGGGGCUAGCGUUGCUCGGAAUCACUGGGCGUAAAGGGUGCGUAGGCGGGUCGUUUAAGUCAGGGGUGAAAUCCUGGAGCUCAACUCCAGAACUGCCUUUGAUACUGGAGAGCUUGAGUCCGGAAGAGGUGAGUGGAACUCCGAGUGUAGAGGUGAAAUUCGAUAGAUAUAGGAAGAACACCAGAUGGCGGAAGG